GCAUCUGUGGCCGAGAGGUUGAAGGCACUGGACUCAUAAUCCAUUUCCGUAAGGACAUCGCUGGUUCGAACCCAGUCGGAUGCA
rnacentral:tRNA from 1 species